rnacentral:rRNA from 1 species
GCCGUCUCAGGCGUCGAGGGUAGCCGGCCUGAGAGGGCGACCGGCCACACUGGGACUGAGACACGGCCCAGACUCCUACGGGAGGCAGCAGUGGGGAAUAUUGCACAAUGGGCGAAAGCCUGAUGCAGCGACGCCACGUGAGGGAUGACGGCCUUCGGGUUGUAAACCUCUUUCAGCAGGGAAGAAGCGAAAGUGACGGUACCUGCAGAAGAAGCGCCGGCUAACUACGUGCCAGCAGCCGCGGUAAUACGUAGGGCGCAAGCGUUGUCCGGAAUUAUUGGGCGUAAAGAGCUCGUAGGCGGUCUGUCGCGUCUGGUGUGAAAUCCCAUGGCUCAACUGUGGGCUUGCAUCGGGUACGGGCAGACUAGAGUACUGUAGGGGAGACUGGAAUUCCUGGUGUAGCGGUGGAAUGCGCAGAUAUCAGGAGGAACACCGAUGGCGAAGGCAGGUCUCUGGGCAGUUACUGACGCUGAGGAGCGAAAGCAUGGGGAGCGAACAGGAUUAGAUACCCUGGUAGUCCAUGCCGUAAACGUUGGGCACUAGGUGUGGGGCCAGUUCCACUGGUUCUGUGCCGCAGCUAACGCAUUAAGUGCCCCGCCUGGGGAGUACGGAAUCUCUAG